UCUCUGGUGGUCCAGUGGUUAGGGCUCUGUGCUUCCACUACAGGGGAUAUAGGUUUGAUCCCUGGUUGGGGAA
rnacentral:tRNA from 1 species